rnacentral:rRNA from 1 species
UACGGGGGGGGCAAGCGUUGUUCGGAAUUACUGGGCGUAAAGGGCUCGUAGGCGGCCAACUAAGUCACACGUGAAAUCCCACGGCUCAACUGUGGAACUGCCGUUGAUACUGUUAGUCUUGAAUGCAGAUGAUGUGGGCGGAAUAUGACAUGUAGUGGUGAAAUACUUAGAUAUGUCAUAGAACACCGAUUGCGAAGGCAGCUCACAAAACUGUGAUUGACGCUGAGGCACGAAAGCGUGGGGAUCAAACAGG